UAACCUAACAUUCCGCAAACGUGAAGCC
rnacentral:piRNA from 1 species